rnacentral:rRNA from 1 species
AGCGGGCGGGUGGAUAACGCGUGAGSAUCUGGCUCCAGGUCGGGGAUACGUUGGAAACGACUGCUAAUACCGGAUGUGCCGAGAGGUGAAAGAUUUAUUGCCUGGAGAUGAGCUCGCGUCUGAUUAGCUAGUUGGUGGUGUAAGGGACCACCAAGGCGUCGAUCAGUAGCUGGUCUGAGAGGAUGAUCAGCCACACUGGGACUGAGACACGGCCCAGACUCCUACGGGAGGCAGCAGUGGGGAAUUUUCCGCAAUGGGCGAAAGCCUGACGGAGCAAUACCGCGUGAGGGAGGAAGGCUCUUGGGUCGUAAACCUCUUUUNUCAAGGAAGAAGAAAGUGACGGUACUUGAGGAAUAAGCAUCGGCUAACUCCGUGCCAGCAGCCGCGGUAAUACGGAGGAUGCAAGCGUUAUCCGGAAUGAUUGGGCGUAAAGGGUCUGCAGGUGGAACUGAAAGUCUGCUGUUAAAGAGUUUGGCUUAACCAAAUAAAAGCGGUGGAAACUACAGAACUAGAGUGCGGUAGGGSCAAAAGGAAUUCCUGGUGUAGCGGUGAAAUGCGUAGAUAUCAGGAAGAACACCGGUGGCGAAAGCGUUUUGCUAGACCGUAACUGACACUGAGGGACGAAAGCUAGGGGAGCGAAUGGGAUUAGAUACCCCAGUAGUCCUAGC